rnacentral:piRNA from 1 species
UGGGAUUGAAGCGCACGUAAGAAUGUA